UAGGGAAUCUUCCGCAAUGGGCGAAAGCCUGACGGAGCAACGCCGCGUGAGUGAUGAAGGUCUUCGGAUCGUAAAACUCUGUUAUUAGGGAAGAACAAAUGUGUAAGUAACUAUGCACAUCUUGACGGUACCUAAUCAGAAAGCCACGGCUAACUACGUGCCAGCAGCCGCGGUAAUACGUAGGUGGCAAGCGUUGUCCGGAUUUAUUGGGCGUAAAGCGAGCGCAGGCGGUCAAUUAAGUCUGAUGUGAAAGCCCCCGGCUCAACCGGGGAGGGUCAUUGGAAACUGGUUGACUUGAGUGCAGAAGAGGAGAGUGGAAUUCCAUGUGUAGCGGUGAAAUGCGUAGAUAUAUGGAGGAACACCAGUGGCGAAGGCGACUCUCUGGUCUGUAACUGACGCUGAGGUUCGAAAGCGUGGGUAGCAAACAGG
rnacentral:rRNA from 1 species